AUUUUUUAAAGAAGGACUUAGGAGCACCAUUGGAGAUGCUCUAACAUAUUUAUCCAGCUUCCUUCUCUAAGCUCAACACAUUUCUCUUAAUGAUUUUAUAUGUAUUACCAUCAUCCCACAUCAAAAAGACUUGAUUUUACCUGUAAUAUCGUGUUGAUGAUGAUAGAGUCACAGUUCCCUUCCCACCAUGAAAUUAGCAGGUGGUAAAUUCAAGGCCGCGAGUCUUGGUUUGAACGAGUUAGUUGCUGACCAAGCAGGUGCAUUCAAAAAAAGAAAAGCCAAGACAAAGAAGCUUGAUGCAUCUCCAGUGGAAUGGAAUACUUAUAGAGUGAUACAAAUUCUCUGCCCCUAAAUUUCACUUUUUAGCUUGCACGCACAAUGAUGUGAAAUAGAUAUGAUGCAAGUUCACGUAAGAAAAAUUGCAUAGAGAAUGUUAAGUUUUUCCUAUUUAGUUAUUGGCACCCCUCUGUAGGUUUUCCACACAAAUAUAUUAUCUGUAAGUAAAUCUGUUACUAUAAUGAUUGUGUGUAUCUUGCAAAAUCUACCUUACAUUUUAUAA